rnacentral:lncRNA from 1 species
AUGGCUCUGAAGGUAAAGAAGGAAGCUCCUUUCUUUCCCGAAGCCAAAGCAAAACCUUUGAAGGCCAAGAAGGCAGUGCUGAAAGGUGUCCACAGGCACAGAGAAAAGAAGAUCCACACGUCAUCCACCUUCUGGUGUCCCAGGACACUGUGGCUCCGGGGGCAGCCCAGACAUCCUCCCAAGAGUGUCCUCAGGAGAAACCAGCAUGACCACUCUGCCAUCAUCAACUAACAUCCCCCGACCCCUGAGUUGGCCACGAAGAAGACGACACAAACACACACUUGUGUUCAUUGCGGGUGCCAAAGCCAGCAAGCGCCACAUCCAACAGGCUGUGAAGAAGCUCUCUGACGCCAGUGUGGCCAAGGUCAACACUCUUCUCAGGCCUGAGGGGGAAGAGAAGCCAGAUGUUCCCCUGGCUACUGAUUAGGACACCUUGGAUGUUGCCAACAAAAUUGGGAUCAUCUAA